rnacentral:rRNA from 1 species
CCUACGGGUGGCAGCAGUGAGGAAUAUUGGUCAAUGGACGAGAGUCUGAACCAGCCAAGUAGCGUGAAGGAUGACUGCCCUAUGGGUUGUAAACUUCUUUUAUAUGGGAAUAAAAUGUUCCACGUGUGGGAUUUUGUAUGUACCAUAUGAAUAAGGAUCGGCUAACUCCGUGCCAGCAGCCGCGGUAAUACGGAGGAUCCGAGCGUUAUCCGGAUUUAUUGGGUUUUAAGGGAGCGUAGGUGGAUUGUUAAGUCAGUUGUGAAAGUUUGCGGCUCAACCGUAAAAUUGCAGUUGAAACUGGCAGUCUUGAGUACAGUAGAGGUGGGCGGAAGUCGUGGUGUAGCGGUGAAAUGCUUAGAUAUCACGAAGAACUCCGAUUGCGAAGGCAGUUCACUGGACUGCAACUGACACUGAGGCUCGAAAGUGUGGGUAUCAAACAGGAUUAGAUACCCCAGUAGUC